CCGCCCGUAGCUCAGCUGGAUAGAGCGUCGGACUUCGAAUCCGCAGGUCGGGCGUUCGAAUCGCCCCGGGCGGA
rnacentral:tRNA from 1 species